UGAAAGUUAUCCAAAUGGAUGCAAAAGAGAAGAAAGCUGCCUUCAGCCAAAGGGCAUAUUUCAGAUUGUUUCUGAACUGGCUUUUGGACCUUGGUUCCCCUGACCCUACCUUGAUAGUUCCAACUUUCAGGUUCACUUUUUGUACAAAGGCACUCUAAGGGUGCUCUUGGUACUGCUUCAUGAUUUUCUGGAGUUCCUUUGUGAUUAUCAUUUCAGCUUCUGUGAUGUGAUUCCACCCAGUUGCAUUCAAAUGCGGAAUGUUAUUCAAAGUCCAUUCCCAUGAAACAUGAGAUUGAUUUGCUGGCUGAAAUCAGCCAAUCACCGGGCAUUCUCUUUGAGGUUGAUGGUGCUCUUAAAGCAAAGUAGAUUAAGGCUGACAUUAAU